UUCUCUUCGUCCUGAGAAUUGCUAUGAAGCUAGAUAACAUGCUAAUGCUGUGUUCUGAACAUAGUUUUACAAGUUUAGUCGACAUAUAAUAUGUAAUUUCGACGUUUUGGUGCGCACCCACUUGGCUUUUGGCUGCAUUUCAACCGAAAUGUGUCGUGUUUGAUCACCGAAAGACACAGACUUCCAAACUAAAGCUGUUUUUGGGUGGCCUUGGCUAGGCCGGCGGAGCAGUAGAAGAAGCCGUCCAUGAAAGACGGAGCAUCAGACGGAGAACUGGUCUCUGAGGUCAACUCCAGCUUGGGGAAAUCAACACAGAGACACGGAGAAAGACACUCCAAGGCAUAGCAAUUGGUCUCUGCUAUGUCUCCCACCAGUCCCUCUGUCAGAAACAACUUGUAGCACUCUGCCUCAGCUGGAAAUGGCAAGGGGCGUUGCACUCCAGACUGGGACUCAAAGAAAACAGCAGGGCCAGGAGGGGUGAAAUGGCUGGCAGCCUUCUAGCUACCACAGAACUCCUGUACUUCAUCCACUGUCGGUCUGCCUCCAUCACCACCAGCAUUUUCAAAGUGAACUGGGACUUCGUCAGUGGACAAUGGGUCCUCAGGUUCAGGGUUCUCAAUGGCUACAAGAUUGGGGGGCAGCUCUUCACUGUCACUGUCAGAAUCGGAUUCAUGACUUUCAGACUCAUUGUCAGAAUAAAAUUAAAAAUCUCCAGAUUUUCCGCA
ensembl:lncRNA